GUUUAGCUCAGUGGCAUGAGCACCUGCCUGGCAAGCAUGAGGUCAUGAGUUCGAUUCCCAGUACUAAACA
rnacentral:tRNA from 1 species